rnacentral:lncRNA from 1 species
CUGUCCAGUUCGCUCAGGGGCGCUAAAAGAGACAGCUCAGCAGAUCUCUAUCAAAGACGGUUAUUAUGGGAUAGCAAGUUACUAUGCAACAAGCAGGUGGCUGACUAUUAUGGGCUGUUAGUGUGUUAGGCAGCUCAGGGAAGGUCGGGGGUUUCUGGCUCUGUGGAGACCACGUGGCAGGGAGUGCAGCUUUCCUACGGAACAGAGAGAACCGGCGGCCGUUUCCACUCUGGUAAUGGAUAAACCCACAUGUGACUCGGCAUACUGUACUUAGUCCCACAGCUGCUCAGCCCCCAGCUCCUGCCCUGCACCCCCCCCCCACGGGCAGAGGAAGCCGGGCAGGGGCAGGGAGGGGACGACGGCACGGCCCUGGGUCGAGACUCGGAGGAAAGGACACAGAGCAGACACGGAAACGGACACGCGUGAGGUCCGGUAACCAGGGCCGGGAACCCACGGCAGACGGCGCCUGGUUCUGACCCCGUUCCCGAAUCAGAGGAAAGCGGGCGGAACUCCCCGGCUUCCCCGAGAAACACAGCAGCCCCCGGGAGGCGGCUGGCGGCUCGUCCCGGAGGGAGCAGAAGCAGGGCUGCCUGUCCCCAGGGUUCUCUGGCCAAGCGGCCACGACCUCCCCUGGACGGCCGGCACUGCCCUGCACCGCCCGGGCCGCCCCGCUGCUCGGUCACAGGUCACGCCGAUGCGGGCGGCUGAGGACGGGAGCGGCACUUGGAUCCAGGGACUGAGCAGAGCAAGGCUCCUCCCUGGAGGGGGUGGCGCUGUCCCAGCUGCUGAGGGUCUCAGCAGGACACGGAGGCUGACUCUGCCCAGAGAAGCAGGAAUGUUUCAACCUGGGACCUUUUCCUGCCUACAGACUGGAGCGGAGACGCCGAGUCCCCCUGGGUCCCCGGCCUGCCGCUUCGGACUGAGCCAAGGCUUCAGCACCCUGGUCUCCAGCCUGCAAACCCUGGGCCGGCUCCGAACAGUGAACGCAGCUCACACACCGACCCACGCAGGUGCACGGCUCGGCGCGAGCCACGACGUGCAGGCCGGGCAGGUGUGCCGAACUCCGCGGGCUCUGAGAGGGCACAGAACUGGGGGGCUGACUCCUGGACACAAGCUCCCUGGUUAUGCACGAGCCCUCGUUCCCGCGGGGGGCUGCUGCGUCUCCAUGUGGCUGACCUGCCCGAGCCUGCUGUACCUGCCGGCUCUCCGUGGCCAGCCCGGGAGCGACGCCCUCAUUUUGCAAACGCCCUCUCUGUCUCCAGGAACUCCGCGAGUCUUGUUGACCCCUCGCUCUCUGCAUCACGGGAUGACAUCGAAAAUACCAGGAGGUAACGUUACACACCAGAGUUCCCCAAAUGUCAAGGUGAUCCGGCAGAGUUGGGCCCGAGCCUGGGAGCCGGAGACAGGAGCAGGGCUCAGACGCAGGUCCCAUGUGCCCCCUCCCCCAGGCCAGCCGAGGCACGUCUCAAAGCCUUGUCACACUCGGUCCACCCCCGUGACAGUUCCUCUGUCCAGCCUGGUGCCCCUGGCUCUGUCUCCCCUCCCUUAACGUCUCGCGAGCUCCUCCCACAGGCACGGCACUGUGGCACCGCGUGGAGGACGGGGGCGCGCAGCCUGGAGCAGAGAGGGCCGCUGGGGCCUUGCCCAGCCCCCAGACCCACCCUGGGCUCCGUCUUUCCCACGUGGAGGAGGGAGGAUACCAGGACCCCCUGCAGAGCUGUCCUGAGCAGGUGCUGAGGGCAUCCUGAGCGUUUCGGGGGCCACGCCCUCCCAGCCGGCCCCCGUCGUCAGCUCCGUCUCCGGACAGCUCCUCCUCAACCCUGGGUGGCUCGGCCUCUGCAGAUUCCACUCUUGCUAACUCUGAGCCUUUCUCAACCAGACCCGAAUGUGCACCUGCAACCUGGGCGGGCCGGGGGCCGGGCCGGGGUGGCGGCUCGUCGGGGUGCGCUCUCUGCCACCCUCAACUUCCUUGCAGCAGAGGGUGCUGGGCACCGCCCUGGCCGCAGGGGCACGGUGACCCCCAGCGGCUCUCAGUGCAGAGCUGACCCCAAUGCCGGGACAGGGGCGGUGCCCCACGCUCCACUGCCCCCUGCGGCUCCUGCUCUCUACCUCAGGCCCCCGGGGCAGCUGCGCCGCGGCCAGCCUGGGCCUGCAGGGACGGGCUCCCCCAGGCUCCCUAGGGAGGCUGCGCCCACAACCUCUGAAUGAGCCCACCUGGGUGCAGGUGUGAGUGAGCGAGAGUGGGUGCUGGCGUGUGCUGUUUGUGUGAGUGGGUGAGUGUAAGUGUGAAUGAGAGUGUGUGUGAGUGUGUGUGAGUGGGUGCUGGUGUGUACAUGUGGGUGUGAGUGUGGGUGCAGGUGUGGGUGAGUGUGAGUGGGUGCUGGCGUUUGCCGUGUGAGGUGUGGGUGAGUGUGAGUGGGUGCUGGCGUUUGCCGUGUGAGUUAGUGUGAGUGGGUGCUGGCGUGUGUCAUGUGCAUGUGCGUGUGGGUACGUGUGGGUGGGUGCUGGCGUGUGCCGUGUGCAUGUUCUCGUGGGUGAGUGUGAGUGGG